AGGGCCAUCGCUCAACGGAUAAAAGGUACUCCGGGGAUAACAGGCUGAUACCGCCCAAGAGUUCAUAUCGACGGCGGUGUUUGGCACCUCGAUGUCGGCUCAUCACAUCCUGGGGCUGAAGUAGGUCCCAAGGGUAUGGCUGUUCGCCAUUUAAAGUGGUACGCGAGCUGGGUUUAGAACGUCGUGAGACAGUUCGGUCCCUAUCUGCCGUGGGCGAUGGAGAACUGAGGGGGGCUGCUCCUAGUACGAGAGGACCGGAGUGGACGCAUCACUGGUGUUCGGGUUGUCAUGCCAAUGGCACUGCCCGGUAGCUAAAUGCGGAAGAGAUAAGUGCUGAAAGCAUCUAAGCACGAAACUUGCCCCGAGAUGAGUUCUCCCUGACCCUUUAAGGGUCCUGAAGGAACGUUGAAGACGACGACGUUGAUAGGCCGGGUGUGUAAGCGCAGCGAUGCGUUGAGCUAACCGGUACUAAUGAACCGUGAGGCUUAACCUUACAACGCCGAAG
rnacentral:rRNA from 1 species